GUUCGUGCUGAAGGCCUGUUUCCUAGGCUACAAACGGGGGACUAGUUCCUUAUUCUAUGCCUAGGGGAAAGUCCCCGGACCAAUGGCAGAGAGUGCCACGUGCGCGCGCACGGAGACUUCCCCUGCUUCUCACGUUAAAGUCCGCCAAGAAGCGACCCCGUGUAGGGCGAGCUGAGCGGCGUGUUGCAGGGGCGUCAUCAGUCAGCUCUUACAGUUACGCAGGCAGUGCGCUUCUGCGCGCUAACCACACGGGGCUCAUUCUCAGUGCGGC
rnacentral:RNase_MRP_RNA from 1 species